UUAGAGCUAUCUAACUAGUGGCUCAGUUCUAGAAAAGGGACCCCACAUGCAACUUCCAAAGAGGAACCGAAAUGGAGGGGAGAGUGGCAGGAAGGGUAAGGAGGGUGAGCAAGGAGGACGGACCGGGGAAGUGAUUCCCUGACGCACGACGUCCUUGCGGGCUGCUGCGACCCCGAUUCCAACCAGGAGCGCCUAGCGCCCCCGCCAACACCUCCCUCAGGAGAGUUUAACGACCGGCACGCUCCAGCAGGCCUCACUGCAGAGCUCUGAGAGGCGUGUAUAUCAGGUGUUCUCAGUACUUUGCAUCCUGAGAGGAGUCUAAGCUCUUCCUCAUCCUCUCCCAUUGAGGAAAGGCUGUGAUUCCUCAGGAAACGGUGUAGAAGGCCUUAGGUAGGUACGUGACAUAAUUUCUCAUCUCUCUCUAGGCCCCCUUUCUUAGAUGCAAAAAGCUGAAAGGCAAGGAGUCAAAUGAAGAAGGAGUGAAGGAAGAUGCUAAAAUAGUGCCCCAGUGGCCAGGACAGGAUUGCUGUUGUUCAGUUGCUAAGUCUUGUCUGACUCUUCGGCGACUCCAUGGACUGUAGACCUUCAGGCUCCUCUGUUCAUGGGAUUUCCCAGGCAAGAAUAUUGGAGUGGGUUGCCAUUCCCUUCUCCAGGGAAUCUUGACCCAAGAAUUGAACCUGCAUCUCCUGUGUUGCAAGCAGAUUCUUUACCACUGAGCUGCCAGGGAAACCAAACUCCUGAAGGGAAGCUCAUUUUUUUCAAGCAAAGUUAUUUAUUGUUUUUAAUCUCUGUUUCCUUUCUAUUAUCUUCUAUAAUGAGAAAGCCUUUAUUUGGUCUUGCUUAGAAGUUUCACUUCCAAUGAAGAAUCAUAAAGGAUUAAUUUAUUGAUUUGUUGAUUUCCUCAAUUAUCCAUUCACCGAUCCAUCACACCCAUAUUGACCACUGUGUUCUACAGGCAGGGAGAUGAGAAGGGACAAGACACAGACCUGCCCACUAGGUGCCCAUUCGGCAAAGUGGGCAGGAGCUCCCUCCUUGAUGCCCUCCAAACAGUAAGGUCAACAUCGGGACACUGAUGAUGUCAUCUCUACUAGUGAAUUCUCUUCCCAAAGGCCAGGCUUGAAGAAGUGGGUUUGUAUUGAGAUGGCAGCUCUCUGGGAAACUCCUGUUCACCCUUUGAAACUUACAGAUGACACUUAGCGUACUGCCUGGCUUCUUAUCUGGUAAACGUUCCCUGGCUUGUCCUGGUGUUGUAGGAUAACGAAUAAUUCCCCAGACAACUUGGGCACUUCGUUGUUUAUCUUUCUGUCUCCCUCUCCCAGAGUGUUAACUCCUCUGGGAAGGACUGAGUUUUAGCACUGCUGCACCCUAGCACCUGGCAGUGAGCCGGGCACAUAGCUGGCACGUGUUGGCACCCCAUCUCCGGAAGGGGAGUCAGGGCCGCCUCUCUGUUUGGAUCUCUCCACAAACUGUUGGGAUGCCAAGGUGCUGGACUGGCUGAGCAGCACGGGGAGGGAGGCUUGGAGAACUCCUUUUUACUUAAGGGACAGUUCUUUCCAUUCUAAGUCUUAGCGUUGUCUGUCUUCCAUGCGAAGCUUCCAAAUGGGUUUUCCCCUUGAUGGGAACUGCUGACCAUAAAUCAGUCAUUUCUGCACAUCUGUGUUUCAUCCAGAGCAGCGCAGUGGAGUCCUUGUGUUUAGGGGUCCUGCCUUCUGCACCUCAUGUGCUGGUCUAAGCCAGAGAAAGGAGUCAUUAUCAUCAGGUCUGUUACCCUGGAUACCCUGUACCCAUGGUGAUCAGAUUUUAUAAACAAAAGUCAGAGCUUAUGUUCAGUCAUGGAGGGAGGACUCACGGAGUAAGGCAGAAAUUGGGGCGUAGUGGACAUGAAGUCCACAGUGGGGUCACUGGGCCCCCCCUGAGUCCAGCUCUCAGAGUGUCUCGUGAGUGCUCUCCUCUUUUAAAGGCACCACAGCGGUCAGCAGGGUUAAUAGAGCACCAAGCCGUCCUUGCCUCUUAUGCCGUGAGAAGGGCCGUGUGCUUGGACCUGGGCUUGAAUUCCUGGCUCUGUUACCUACUGACCUAUGAGGCUGGGCGAGUGGGUGGACAUCUCUGCGCCUCUCUGCUUUCCUGUUACGGGGUGAGCUGGAGAGCAGGUGCGCUGCAGCACACAGCCUGUCCAGUAGACGCCACGGGCACUGCGCACACACUAAGGCCGCCUCUGUUUCCUCAGCUCCUGGGGACAGGCUGAAAUGAUCAUCUUACAGGCCCAAAUCAGAUUAAACCAAAACAAGAUUUAAACAAAUGUUAAAAAAGGAAAAGACAACAGCUUUAAAAUUCUGGCUUCCAAAUUCCUGAUUAUUUCACUCCAGGAGCUGUGGCCAUGUUCAGAACAGCCUGGGUUACACUUGGAUUGGGGUUCCCUUGCCCCACUGUGGGCGCCAGGGCUGGACACUGUGUAUUCCUUGGGGUCAACAGAGGCCAACUUCCCUCUAUGUAAGGGCCCCACUUGGCCGAGUGCAACGUUGGUUCUACUUUUGUCAUGGAUGUUGAUGAGCGCUGUUCAGAGUAUGAUUCACAGUCUUGUCAAAAUCACAUUCUGCAUUUCUUCACACAGAUACUGAAAUGUAUGGUUUAUCAUUUUUGUAUAAACUCAUGGUCUCUGAAGAUCUGCUUAUGUGAUGUUUCUCAGCAGUAACAUUGUGAAAGUUGGUGGUUGUCUAAUAAAGGUUCCUGGUUUCAAAAUCA